GACGAACGCUGGCGGCGUGCUUAACACAUGCAAGUCGAGCGGUAAGGCCCUUUCGGGGUACGACGAGCGGCGAACGGGUGGAGUAACACGUGGGUGGACCUGCCCUCCAGCUCUGGGAGUAAGCCUGGGAAACGUAGGGUCGUAAUACUGGAUAUGACUCCACGGUGCAUGUCGUGGGGUGGAAAGCCUUGUGCGGCUGAGGAUGGGCCCGCGGCCUAUCAGCUUGUUGGUGGGGG
rnacentral:rRNA from 1 species